rnacentral:rRNA from 1 species
GUGGGGAAUUUUGGACAAUGGGCGAAAGCCUGAUCCAGCCAUGCCGCGUGCAGGAUGAAGGCCUUCGGGUUGUAAACUGCUUUUGUACGGAACGAAAAGACUCCUUCUAAUAAAGGGGGUCCAUGACGGUACCGUAAGAAUAAGCACCGGCUAACUACGUGCCAGCAGCCGCGGUAAUACGUAGGGUGCAAGCGUUAAUCGGAAUUACUGGGCGUAAAGCGUGCGCAGGCGGUUAUAUAAGACAGAUGUGAAAUCCCCGGGCUCAACCUGGGGACUGCAUUUGUGACUGUAUAGCUAGAGUACGGUAGAGGGGGAUGGAAUUCCGCGUGUAGCAGUGAAAUGCGUAGAUAUGCGGAGGAACACCGAUGGCGAAGGCAAUCCCCUGGACCUGUACUGACGCUCAUGCACGAAAGCGUGGGGAGCAAACAGGAUUAGAAACCCCUGUAGUCC